AACGAACGCUGGCGGCAUGCUUAACACAUGCAAGUCGAACGCUCUGGGGGCUUCGGUUCCUGGGGAGUGGCGCACGGGUGAGUAGCGCGUGGGAACCUGCCCUGGAGUGGGGGAUAACCGAUGGAAACGUCGGCUAAUACCGCAUGAUCCGGGAGCCCUGAGAGGGGUUUUCGGCAAAGAUUUAUCGCUCUGGGAGGGGCCCGCGUCGGAUUAGGUAGUUGGUGGGGUAACGGCCUACCAAGCCAGUGAUCCGUAGCUGGUCUGAGAGGA
rnacentral:rRNA from 1 species